rnacentral:rRNA from 1 species
CGGACGGGUGAGUAAUGUCUGGGAAACUGCCUGAUGGAGGGGGAUAACUACUUGAAACGGUAGCUAAUACCGCAUAACGUCGCAAGACCAAAGAGGGGGACCUUCGGGCCUCUUGCCAUCGGAUGUGCCCAGAUGGGAUUAGCUAGUAGGUGGGGUAACGGCUCACCUAGGCGACGAUCCCUAGCUGGUCUGAGAGGAUGACCAGCCACACUGGAACUGAGACACGGUCCAG